GCACUUUCGACGGGGACGAUGAUGACGGUACCCGUAGAAGAAGCCCCGGCUAACUUCGUGCCAGCAGCCGCGGUAAUACGAAGGGGGCUAGCGUUGCUCGGAAUGACUGGGCGUAAAGGGCGCGUAGGCGGCGGCGUAAGUCAGAUGUGAAAUUCCUGGGCUUAACCUGGGGGCUGCAUUUGAGACUGCGUUGCUAGAGGAUGGAAGAGGCUCGUGGAAUUCCCAGUGUAGAGGUGAAAUUCGUAGAUAUUGGGAAGAACACCGGUGGCGAAGGCGGCGAGCUGGUCCAUUACUGACGCUGAGGCGCGAUAGCGUGGGGAGCAAACAGGAUUAGAUACCCUGGUAGUCCACGCCGUAAACGAUGUGUGCUGGAUGUUGGGGUUCAUAGAACUUCAGUGUCGUAGCU
rnacentral:rRNA from 1 species